UACGUAGGGGGCAAGCGUUGUCCGGAAUCAUUGGGCGUAAAGCGCGCGUAGGCGGUCCGGUAAGUCCGCUGUGAAAGUCGGGGGCUCAACCCUCGGAUGCCGGUGGAUACUGUCGGGCUUGAGUACGGAAGAGGCGAGUGGAAUUCCUGGUGUAGCGGUGAAAUGCGCAGAUAUCAGGUGGAACACCAAUUGCGAAGGCAGCUCGCUGGGACGUUACUGACGCUGAGACGCGAAAGCGUGGGGAGCAAACAGG
rnacentral:rRNA from 1 species